CGGGGUUUGACAUGUUCAGGAAAGGCCUGGAGACAGGUCCCCUCUUCGGAGUCUGAGCACAGGUGCUGCAUGGCUGUCGUCAGCUCGUGCCGUGAGGUGUUGGGUUAAGUCCCGCAACGAGCGCAACCCUCGUCGCUAGUUGCAUGUUUCUAGCGAGACCGCUGCGCAAAACGCAGAGGAAGGUGGGGAUGACGUCAAGUCAUCAUGGCCUUUAUGCCCCGGGCUACACACACGCUACAUCCGUUUCGGUACAGACGGUUGCGAAGCCGCGAGGUGGAGCUAAUCCGAGAAAGCCGUCCUCAGUUCAGAUUGCAGGCUGCAACUCGCCUGCAUGAAGACGGAGUUGCUAGUAACCGCAGGUCAGCACACUGCGGUGAAUACGUUCCC
rnacentral:rRNA from 1 species